UGGGGAAUUUUGGACAAUGGGCGAAAGCCUGAUCCAGCAAUGCCACGUGUGUGAAGAAGGCCUUCGGGUUGUAAAGCACUUUUGUCCGGAAAGAAAUCCUUGGCUCUAAUACAGUCGGGGGAUGACGGUACCGGAAGAAUAAGCACCGGCUAACUACGUGCCAGCAGCCGCGGUAAUACGUAGGGUGCAAGCGUUAAUCGGAAUUACUGGGCGUAAAGCGUGCGCAGGCGGUUUGCUAAGACCGAUGUGAAAUCCCCGGGCUCAACCUGGGAACUGCAUUGGUGACUGGCAGGCUAGAGUAUGGCAGAGGGGGGUAGAAUUCCACGUGUAGCAGUGAAAUGCGUAGAGAUGUGGAGGAAUACCGAUGGCGAAGGCAGCCCCCUGGGCCAAUACUGACGCUCAUGCACGAAAGCGUGGGGAGCAAAACAGGAUUAGAUACCCUGGUAGUCCACGCCCUAAACGAUGUCAACUAGUUGUUGGGGAUUCAUUUCCUUAGUAACGUAGCUAACGCGUGAAGUUGACCGCCUGGGGAGUACGGUCGCAAGAUUAAAACUUAAAUGAAUUGACGGGGU
rnacentral:rRNA from 1 species